GGGUCAGUAGGUUGGUCGUGCCACCGGUACGUACUGGUCUCGCUGAUUCCUCCUUCCUGAAGAACCGUAAUGCCAUUAAUUUGGUGUUGCGGGGAAAUAGGACUGUUACUUUGAAAAAAUUAGAGUGUUUAAAGCAAGCUAACGCUUGAAUACAUUAGCAUGGAAUAAUGAAAUAGGACGAUCGAUCCUAUUUUGUUGGUUUCUAGGAUUGACGUA
rnacentral:rRNA from 1 species